GGCGGGUGAGGUAGUGCACACUUGUAAUCCCCGCACCUUGGGAGGCUGAAGCAGGAGGAUCACAAGUUCAAGGCUAUUCUGGGAAACUUGGUGAGACCCUAUUUCAA
rnacentral:sRNA from 1 species